rnacentral:lncRNA from 1 species
UGUAGUUUGUUUAGAUAAUGGGAAGGGUCUGCGUCUUUGUAUUUAAAUAGAUAAGGGAGGUUCCUGAGACUUUUGUACAGAUAAGGAAGGUUCCAGGAGACUUUGUAUGGAAUAUGUAUGUACCUCCAGGAAGGCCUCUGAAUGUAUGCGAACUGAAGACUUUUUUGUGUAAGGUAUGCAUGAUAGGAGGAGAGUAUUCCCCACGCAUCCAAUGCUGUUAUUAAAGAAUGCCUACUUCCUAACCCUCCUACUUGAGUCUUAGGGAGUUUCUCGAUUGACUGCUUUACAGUAAGACUUAUGGGUUUAAGGAAGUAUUCAUAUUUCACACCAGGUUAGCUUCCUGGUUUCCUGAUGUAAGUUUAUGAAUUAAGGAAUUCUGCAGAUGCAUUUCUGGUAAUGCUAACUUUAUUUGUAUGGUAUAUUACAGUGUAUAUCUAAGUGUUGCUUGAUUUUCAUUAAAAAGACUUUAGAGAAAAUUAGACUGAUCUAACCUGUAUUGUUAGAUAAGUCUCAAAGGGGGGAAUUGUUGUCAGUCAAGUAAGAACUAACCAUUGUACAAGUCUUUGUAUGUGUAUACUUAGAUAUAGCAAGUACGUAUUUUUAUCUACGUCAGGAUGCCCACCCUUGAGGCAGAAUUCUUAAUCACAAUGUGACAACUAAACUUGUCUUUGAGACAAGUUUUCAAGCAUCUUGAAAAAAUAUGUGGUUAAUUAGCCUAACUAGUAUAGCCUUCAGGUAGGGAGUUUAGCCCUAUCUGUAACUGACCGUUUGUGUCAGUGUAGUGGUCAGAUGAUAAAAACAUGAAUAAAAAAGCAUCAUAAAAAUUAUGGAGAUUUCUAGCUUUGUGGAUGUCUACCUAGCAGCCAGACUUGCGCAACUUUGCAAUAAAUCAUUAUCUUGUCUCUGUGUAUGAAAAUGGCUUACUGCACACUGAGUAAUGAAUCUGCAUUUCAGACAACAGUGGCAGAAAAAGAAAAAAGAAAACAACACAACAACAUCAUGAAAAAAAUAUAAGAAAAAGACAUGAUAUCCUAACAAUCUACUGGGAGCUUUUGGAGAAGAUAUGGAGACUGCUCUUUCAAAGUUUUAAUACUGAGGCCAAUGAGGCUUGCCAGAGACAGGCUUCUGGGAGACUGUUCAAAAAACAGGAAGAGGUUACACUACCACAAUGGGUAAAAGACUUAACAGAAGAUCUUCGCAGCCAUUUCUGUAGGUGCCUUCCACAGACAAGCCAUCAAAAUACAGGAAUUGUAUGUAUGGAGUUACCAGAAUGUGGUAAUUUCAUCAUUAGUCUUCAUGGAAACAGCAUGGGUUAGCCACGCUGCUCAUCAGCAGUGAGCCAAGCAGUCAAUGAAGGAUGGAGACCCCAAUGCAAUGGCAGUGCAUUUUAUGCAAAAUAACUACCUUUUGUGCCUUACUCUUUCUCUUCUGGGGAAAUAAAAAAAUACUUUCAAAAACA